rnacentral:rRNA from 1 species
ACGCUCGACACCUACGGGAGGCAGCAGGUGGGGAAUAUUGCACAAUGGGGGAAACCCUGAUGCAGCGACGCCGCGUGGAGGAAGAAGGUCUUCGGAUUGUAAACUCCUGUUGUUAGGGGAAAAAGAGGAUGGUACCCAACAAGGAAGUGACGGCUAACUACGUGCUAGCAGCCGCGGUAAUCUGAGCGGGCUGGCAAGGC